rnacentral:rRNA from 1 species
AUGCAAGCAGCUGCGCGGAGGGGCGCGGCGGCAGCGGCGGCGGCGGCGGCGUCCUUCCACUCCACCGCCGCGGCGCUCUCCAAAUCCACGCCCCGUAUUCGGUUCAAUGUCCGAGAAAAGCGCACCGACGCGAAGAAUGCCCUUAAGAACAUUCUGCUUAAUGGCGGUCCCUCCCAGGAAAGAAGUAGUAAACAAACGAGGCAGCAGAAAGCUGGUGGCAAAUCGAAAGUACGCUCCGGUCCUGGAAGUAAUCCGUAUAGCAAAGGCAGAGGUGGGAUAGACUGGAGGAACUUUGAUGGUGAUGAUUCCAGCGAUAGCCCUUACGGGAGUGUUGGCGGCAAGACAUCUUUUACGUGGUACUGGCCCGGGGAGGAGGAUGAUGAUGACCUUCCUAAUGGGUUCCAAUGGAGGGAGGAGCCUCGACCGAACAAAUCAAGGGAAAAAGUUUGGAACGAGAGCGAUGUGGAUGAGGAAGAGGCCCCUCGUCGUGACGAUAUGAAAAGCCACAGAAUAUCCCUUGGCUUGCCUGCCUUGGGCCCCUUAAAGCUUGAUCAUAUUAAGUCCGCUUUUCGCGCGUCGGCUCUCAAGUGGCACCCGGACAAGCACCAAGGAUCUUCACAGGCUGAAGCAGAGGAUAAGUUCAGGCGCUGUGUCGAAGCGUACAACGCCUUGUCUGGUGCUUUCAAACGGAGUAGCUAA